GGAAAAUGAACCAAAUGGGAUUCCUUAAGUAAUUGCGAAUGAACAAGGAAUUGCUCAGCUUGAAAAUUGGGGCCUUCGGCCUUGAAUUGUAAUUUUGAAAUGUAUUGCCAAUGGAGGCGCAGGUGCAAGCCUAUYGAAAGAAAGCGUCAAUGAGGGUGAGAUUCCUUUUUGUCAUUUGCAGUCCUCCGUGCACGGUGUAUAUUUGACGAGUCACACUCCUCGGCAUUGGAAUGCAAAGUGGGUGGUAAAUUCCAUGUAAAGGAAAAUAUAUUAUUGAGACUGAUAGCAAACAAGUACCAUGAGGGAAAUAUGAAAAGGACUUUGAAAAGAGAAUUAAAAGAGUCUGCAUUUGCUGAACAGAAAGCAAACAGAAUUGAUCUACUUGGUGAGAUUGUUGCGUCCACUUGUGGGCGCAAUGGUUCUUGCCUUGGAUGUCAGCGUCUAUUUCUGCAAAUCAUUACCCUUGCACAUGAAUGGUAAUUUGCCUGUGGGCAUUGGAAUGCAUGUGUUUGCAAUGAUUUGUGUUUUGAUACAUGUGUCUGGCGUUCGUGUGUGUGCCUUCUUGCCAACAGGGGAGGGCUCUCCUCCCUGGGCACUGCAAGCCCUUGCACAGUGUUGCUGGCAAAAUGUUUCUGCUUGACCCG
rnacentral:rRNA from 1 species